GUGACAUUGGACUGAGGCAGCUUCCAUCCCAAGGCAGCUACAGACACACAAUUCAGAGAAACUUUGUGCAAAAGAGAUUAAAGAUGCUCCUGAUCAUCCUGAUUCAACUCCUGAUCGUCGCAUCAGCAAAUGCCCAGGCAACCACCACUGUAGCAGCUUCAACUGCAGCACCCACCACGACUGCUGCUGGUGCCAUCACCACAACGGCUGCAGUACCUACCACGACUGCUGCUGGUGCCAUCACCACA